UACAGAGGGUGCAAGCGUUGUUCGGAAUUAUUGGGCGUAAAGGGAGUGUAGGCGGUUUGCUAAGUCUUCUGUGAAAUCUACGGGCUCAGCCUGUAACGUGCAGAGGAAACUGACAGACUUGAGUGUCGGAGAGGAUAGUGGAAUUCCCGGUGUAGAGGUGAAAUUCGUAGAGAUCGGGAGGAACACCAGUGGCGAAGGCGGCUGACUGGUCCGGUUCUGACGCUGAGGCGCGAAAGCGUGGGGAGCAAACAGG
rnacentral:rRNA from 1 species